rnacentral:rRNA from 1 species
GUCUUCUUGGUUUUUAUAGGAAGUCUGACCUGCCCAGUGAAGUAAUUUUUAACGGCCGCGGUAUUUUGACCGUGCAAAGGUAGCAUAAUCAUUAGUCUUUUAAUAGAAGGCUGGCAUGAAUGGUUUGACGAGGUGCUGACUGUCUCAUUUAAUUUUUUAUUAGAAUUUAACUUUUUAGUUAAAAGGCUCAAAUGUUUUUGGAAGACGAGAAGACCCUAUAGAGCUUUAUAAUAAAAUGAUUUGUCAUAUUUAGUUUGAUUUCUUUGGCCAUUUGUUUUAUUAUUUUGUUGGGGUGACAAAAAUAUAUAAUUAACUUUUUUAUUUAUUUUACAUUAAUAUAUGAAUUAUAGGAUCCAUUUUUAAUGAUUAUUAGAUCAAGUUACCUUAGGGAUAACAGCGUAAUCUUCUUUCAGAGUUCAAAUUUACAAGAAGGCUUGCGACCUCGAUGUUGGAUUAAGAUUAUAAUUAGGUGCAGCUGCUUAAUUUAUAGGUCUGUUCGACCUUUAAUUUCUUACAUGAUCUGAGUUCAAACCGG